rnacentral:rRNA from 1 species
CGUUAGGUGAUUAUGUUGUGCUUUCUGCACUUCCUCCUCCAGACUGACUCUCCUAGUUCACAGCCCCAUGGGGUAGGCCUCCUACUACUGGUCUGCCCACUCCCAUGGAGUGACGGUCACAGUGUACAAGACCCGGAAAACUAAUCGGAAAAGCUGCGGAUCCUCGAUCACUAGCCAUUCAAACUUCCCGUAGUCGAAUUGCAUACUACGAUCCGGAUGACGAUGCAUUUUCAGGAAUUAUCUCCGCCCCGAGGCUAGGCAACCCUCUCUAUGCACCAUUGUAUGACGUGAGAAGCCCUACACGUAAUGGCCAUGAGGACAUGACGUAAUCCCCACCUUCAUCCGGUCUGUCGCCGGCAGUCUCUCUAGAGUGCCAUUUCAUAGCACCUAGAGACAAGGGUUGCGCUCGUUGCGGGACUUAACCCAACAUCUCACGACACGAGCUGACGACAGCCAUGCAGUACCUGUGUCCACUUUCUCUUUCGAGCACCUAAUGCAUCUCUGCUUCGUUACUGGCAUGUAAAGGGUAGGUAAGGUUUUCGCGUUGCAUCGAAGUAAUCCACAUCAUCCACCGCUUGUGCGGGUCCCCGUCAAUUCCUUUGAGUUUUAAUCGUGCGACCGUACUCCCCAGGCGGUCAACUUCACGCGUUAUCUACGUUGCUAAGAAAAUGAAUCCCCAACAACUAGUUGACAUCGUUUAGGGCGUGGACUACCUAGGGUAUCUAAAUCCUGUUUGCUCCCCACGCUUUCGUGCAUGAGACGUCAGUGUUUAUCCCCAGGGGCUGCCUUCACCAUCGGGUAUUCCUCCACAUCUCUACGCAUUUUCAUGCUACACCGUGGAAUUCUACCCCUCUGACACACUCUAGCCAUGCAGUCACCAAUGCAAUUCCCAGGUUAAGCCCGGGGAUUUCACAUCGGUCUUGCAAACCGGCCUGCGCAAGCUAUAGUCCCAGUAAUUCCG